AUACGGUUUGCCACUUCUUGAACUUUUUCAUUGUUGAUGACAUCGCCCUUGUUCUUAUGAGCAUCCAACCAUAGAACAUCGAGGUCUAUAGAUGAUACAUUCGAAGAUGUAUCGUUUUGUUCCAGCUGACAAAACAUAACUAGUAAUGUUAUUAGAAUGAACACAAAACAUGACCAAUAAUGUACUUACAAAUUAACCAUACUUCUAAUUUUUUCCACGAUUCCUCUAUACCCUGCUCGAGAAACUCGUUAUGGAUAUAAAUGUUUAGAUGCCCUCUUACAAUUUUCAUCACUUAAUUUCUGCAAAAACAAAUAACAUUAACAACAAUAUGUACAUUCAUAUAAAAAAAGCAUAACUAUACACUCAAUACAAAGAAGAUGACUUUACCAAGAAAGAUUCAUCUUCUGUACGUCUAGUGACAAAAACCUUCUAAUGAGUGUCAUAAAUGAUAUUUGUAUAUUUGGUUGGAGGUUUGAUGUUUGCUUUGUCAUCAAAAUCUUUGACAUACUUUCCGUCAUCGAUUCUGAAUUGUUGAAGAGCCUUACCAACAGAUUUAAGGAUGUAAUCAUUGUGUUCCUCUCCCAAAAGUUGACUGAAAACGCAUAAAUACAACAUCAAUAUAUUGCAUGGAAACUCAUAAAUACAUUGCAUGGAAACACAUAAAUACAUUAUAUGAAAACACAUAAG
rnacentral:lncRNA from 1 species